UUAAAUCAUUGGUUCCCAUGUGAACACCAAAGUUAAGCAAUGUUGAAUCUGGUCAGUACCGAAAUGCGGAAUUGCUUGGGAAUAGCAGGUGUUGUAAG